rnacentral:lncRNA from 1 species
UGCCUUUUACAAUUAUCUCUUACUCUCAAAUGACAGUUCAUUUUGGGUGCAUCUUUAUCGUUAUAUUUUACUUGGGAAUUUUUGAACAGAAUUCUUCUGUUCAGAAAGUUUUCCAAUUAUGUAUCUGUUUCCCCAAAGUGAUAAUGCACUACCUUAUGAAGGCAGCUACCAAUGUUUAUCAUGUUUAUAAAAACAUUUCCCCUUGGAUCUGGCAAUUUUGUUCUGAGAAUCUGAGUUCCUCGCAAAUGCAGGUACUGACUGUCCUCAGGAGGCCUUCUUUCCUUUGUUAUCCGAAGACUGGCAAGGACACAAAGAUAAUUCCAGCAUCUGUGACAUCUCAGUAUCGGCCUCCUUCAGUCAUCUUUUCCCGUUCAAGUGGAGAUUCUCCUUUGUAUGUUUUCCAUGCCACUGUCAUUUUUCAGCUGGACCCGUGCCAUAGCUUCCCAAGGGGUCUGUGGGAUAGGAUGUUGUUUCAGUCCCCGACGCUUGCAGUGAAGGCUGGAGGAGAGUGAUGCUGCCUAAUUUAUGACUGUGUAGGGCUGCGGUGGAGGAGGCAUGACCACGUGCAGUUGCAACCCGAGCUGCUGGAGUGGAUCCACAUUGAAGAUGAAACUCCAAAUGUUGACAGUGGCCAGGGUCUUUUCAAACAAGCUAGGCCAGAAAGGCUCAACAUUGAUACCAACUAAUUUAAUGAGGGCAGUGAUCUUAUCCUCCACGACCAUCUUCUUUCGAAGGACGAGGGCAGAGCACUUGCAGGCAAGCUCACAGAUGGAGGAUGUGCUAUAGACUGUGGCACAGUGCUGGUCAGCAGGCUUCACCCCAAAGCAGAAGGGCUGAGCUCCUUGGUGACAGCUGGGGAAAAUGCUGGCCUUUCUUCAACUCUCCUUUGACAAUAGCUCCUCUGGUAUCUGACUUCCCAUGGCUUGUCCUAUAAGCUUCACCCACGAUGGAGAUUUUAACCUUAGACCCUUCCUCUCCCUUCCACGGUUCACCAAGUAGCAUCUCCAGUCACCUAAAGUGCAGGCCUAGACAUACGGGAGGGAGUCUGUGUUUUAUAUUGCUCUUAGAAGUAUAAGAAGAUAAUCAACUUAUUUUUGUGAACUUUAUAAAAUUGACAAUGGAUUCUUCUCUGAUCCAAUAUUAUCCCAACCACACUUUCCCCUCUUUCUACUCCUCCCAGCUCCCUGCCACCAGCCCUCCCCCAUAGAUGACUUCCUCUCUGUUUCCUCUUAGAAAAGAACAGGUUUCCAAGAGAU